AUAACGUUCUCCACCGGCGCCUCUUUACUUCCCUUCUUUCCCACUCCCUCAUCUUCCGUAACGCUUCAAGUAAACCAAGAAGAACCCUCCACAGCAACCAUCAAGAUGAGAAAUCCUUGCUUACAUACUUCAAUCGAUCGUUCCAGAAACAAGAACAGAACCCCCAGAUUUUUCUUCUUUCCCAAGAACACGUACGAGGUUCUUUUUCUUUUUGAAAAAAAUAAUUUCAGCUUAGAAAAGCUAUAAAUCUCUUGGUGAAAGAAAUUCUUAUUCAGUAUUGAGGAGAUAUUGUACUGAACUUCAGUAGCUGAAGCUUAGGGACUUUAGUUGGUCAAUUGGCUGUUUUAAUUCAAAGGUCAGAAAACAGUUUCAUGGACACGAGAACCCUGUCAUUCUCGCUUCACAAACACCACUUCAGUGUAAGCGAAGCUGCUUUGAGUUGCUCAAGAGUAUUAGUAGUUUUUUUUUUUGGUGAUUGAUGAUCGGUUGAUAAGUGAUUUGGGUACUCCACAUACAAUAACUUUCAACACCAAAAUCAUCAUACCACUUCGAAGAGUUCUAUACAGAAACUCACUCCAUGGCAUCCCAAAUCACUUGGAUCCCUCAAGCUCAAAAAUCAAAUCAAUCACAAUACGUUUCACAGGUGAUGCAUGUUGUUGGCGGGGUUUCUUAUCGAUGGGUCCAUACAUAGACACACUCUACGUCAGCCUUCCAAAGUUACCUUUUCGAAUCAUUUAAGAAGAGCAGGCAAUUUAACUCUUUCUGCCACAAAUGCCACUUGAGUUUACACAAACAUCGGCAUCCCCACCGCCACUGAAAUGAGAGAAAGGUUAGCAUUGAAUUCUGAAAGGUAGAUUGUUGUUGAAACCCAUCUCAUGAAUCAAUGGUGAUAUUAAUUAGUGUGCACGAUAACUGUUUUCGAUGUAUUAUUGAUCUCGCUUCAACUAUUCAUAGUCUUUAUCAGUUGAAUUGCGGUCAAAAACCUAGACUUAAUGUUCUUUCCAUGCUGCAACUACAACACUAACUUUAUUCCUCUGAAGAUGUGACGGUACAUAUGUUAAAGUUUUCAUGUAUCACCCACAAUAGGAAAUUUGGUAUUGGUAGAAUGAUACCUUUUUCAUGUAUCACUUCAAUUAUUCGUAGUUUUUAAAUCUGUUUUCAGUCCCAGGAUUAGGUUGCUGAAAAAGAAUCCAGCUCCUGUAGAAUACUGACAAUUUGUGAUAAACUUAUAAUGGGGUUUAUAAAAGAGGUAGCAGGCCUCUCUUAUUCAAUUGAAAUAACACGCAGCAGGUAAAAACCAUGUAUCAUUUGUAUUGAAGGUGCAUAGUGCUCCUCUUUGUGUUUGGUCAAUUGACUGUUGCAGCCAAAUUGGCUAUCUUUCAAGUUAAUUUUGGUCGGGCUUUUUAUAUAUAAUUUUAUUUGUCGGUGUAAGGCCUCUCUUUUUAUGUCUUAGAACAAAAAUGCCCUUGCAAUAAUUUUGCAUUCUCGGGAAUGAUAUCUUGCUAACUGAAACGUAUUGAAUCAAAACAUCUCAUUGAUUAUAGUAUGAGUUGACUUUGUGAUAGUCUGGCGUUGCGCUUGAUUAGUUAGCUUUGUAUUGUAAAUUAUUACUGCGAGCAAUUGGUGUGCUUUUCCUUUAUUUAAAAUCUCUUCCUUUUCAGUUAUUAUUAUUCAUUAAUAGUAAACAUUGGGUAAUCAUGUUAUAAUACUAAUUUACCCAAAUUUUUUAGCUUUGGAUGGCAGUGGAACCUCCCGUAAAAUACUCCGCAGAAGUCCUGGACUAAUUGUACGAGCUGGAUGACAAUAAAAAAUAUAUAUCUAUGAUGUAUCCAAUCGGUAUCGGUAAGAUAUUUUUUUCCAAAAAUAAAUUUUGUUUCGUUGGCAGUCUACGGGUUGUUGUUCAUGUUCAUGCAUGGUGAAAUAUUGGAUUAGUUGGGUUUGGGGAAGGGGGAGCAUUAUUCCUGUUAACCAUCUAUCUAAGGAGUAACCAUGCCACUUGAUUACAAGAGAACAUGAUCUGGGAAAUUGUAUGUAGACUGGGAAGAAGUAAAUUUCAGGAUCUGGAUAUUCGAUCAAAAUGUUUUUGUCCUUGGCUUUAAAUUUUUUAUUUUGAUAGAAAUCGGCUUCGAGUUCUUUAUUUUUUUUAUAGAGAUCGAUGGAUGUACCAACCGUUUAUUGAAAUCAUGCCCAAGGUCUUCAUUUUGUGAAAGAUUAAGCAAACACGAGUGAGAUUAAGAAAAUAUAACUAGCGCGGGUUUCGCUAUAUUUUGACUACGGUUCAUCAUAGGAUGAUCGGCUUAAUCCGCAGAGUUGGUGUUGUUACUUUAGUUGCUUGGGUCCAUAUUUCGUAUGCCAGGGAGCUCAAAAACUAGAGGCAGUGUAGGUUGAAACAGGGCAUGGCAUCCUGGCCUUUAUUCAUCGUUUAUCACGAAAAUAAUUCCUCUAACUGACAAAUGAGGUUUAUCACAAAUAGCCACAAUAUAUAUUCAUCGUAUUACAAACCCAGUUACUAACUCUGACAAAUGAGGUAACAACAAAAAUAGCCCAAGGCAUAAUUAAAGUAUCCUAAUAUAUAAUUGUAGAGGUUCUACCUAA